rnacentral:rRNA from 1 species
CCUACGGGAGGCAGCAGUGGGGAAUAUUGGGCAAUGGGCGCAAGCCUGACCCAGCAACGCCGCGUGAAGCAAGAAGGCUUUCGGGUUGUAAACUUCUUUUGACAGGGAAGAGCAGAAGACGGUACCUGUCGAAUAAGCCACGGCUAACUACGUGCCAGCAGCCGCGGUAAUACGGAAGGCCCGAGCGUUAUCCGGAUUCAUUGGGCGUAAAGGGAGCGUAGGCGGGCGUUCAAGUCAGCUGUAAAAUCGCGCGGCUAAACCGCGCCCCGCAGUUGAAACUGGACGCCUUGAGUUCACAACAGGCAGGCGGAAUUCGUGGUGUAGCGGUGAAAUGCAUAGAUAUCACGAGGAACCCCGAUUGCGAAGGCAGCCUGCCGGGGUGCGACUGACGCUGAGGCUCGAAGGUGCGGGUAUCAAACAGGAUUAGAUACCCGGGUAGUC